rnacentral:rRNA from 1 species
GACGAACGCUGGCGGCGUGCCUAAUACAUGCAAGUCGAACGCAGGGGGGACGGGUGAGUAACACGUGGGUAACCUCCCAUAAGAGGGGAGAACCCUUGGCAACAGGUGCUAAACCGAUACUGAUGGAUGGAGCCGCGGUGCAUUAGCUAGUUGGUGAGGGAACGGCUCACCAAGGCAACGAUGCAUAGCCGACCUGGGGGAGUGAUAGGCCACACGGGGACUGAGCCACGCCCAAGCCUCCUACGGGAGGCGGCAGAGGGGAAUCUUCGGCAAUGGACGAAAGUCUGACCGAGCAACGCCGCGGGGGUGAGGAAGGUUUUGGGAUCGUAAGACCCUGUGGUUAGGGAGGCGGUAUCUAACCAGAAAGCCACGGCUAACUACGUGCCAGCCGCCGCGGUAAUUC